rnacentral:lncRNA from 1 species
UGGAAUCAUUUUUCUUUUUAUAUUCUAUACAAAAUCCUAUAACUUCAUUAAUAAGUCUAAGUAGCAGAAGUAGGUUUCUAGGGAUGUUUUAUCAAUUUCUUUCCAUUUGUAUCUGUUGAAAAUUCCAAUUCAAUUCAAUUCCCUUUUGAUUGGGUUUGAUUCAUCCUUUCAAUUUCGAUUGAGUCUAUCUCCAAAUUCAUAAUGUUCAAAACUUUCUCUUACCUUUCUAUUGAAAAAUCAAAUGUGGAUUUUCAUUCGCAAAAUACAAAAUUCAACUUUCAGAAAAUAGGACCCAAGAACUAUUGCCUUAGAAUGCAUGAAUGAUUCUUGGAUUUGAAUCUCCCAAUUUUGGUUUCCUAAUGACAUAAGAAAAUACAACUU